UCAACCAUCAAGAAGGGUACAAAAGCUAAUAUCGCGCUUAUUAUUACAAAGUUGAUUAGGUAUAAAUAAGUGAAGCAUUCAUUCGUGUACAAUAUUAGCAUGUAGGCCUAGGAUAUGGUUCCAUUCUUAGACACCGAUAUUCUUUAAACAUAAGGAAAUACUUCAUAAGAAGCCCUAUAUAUUGCAUUGAUGAUAGAUUCAUAGGUUAAAAGGCAUGAAACCAGUUUAUGGUAAGCAAAACUACAUAGAAGAGAUGCAUCAUGUAGAUUGCUUUGAUUCCCCAACUUCUGGUAAUUAAGAUAUAUAGUCUUUCGCCGUCCUCAUAAUUAACCUUUUGCUUCAUGUCUUCCAUGCGCUUCUGCAGAAUAAAAGUGUACAAUAAAGGAAUAGGAAAACCAGCUGUAGUUGCACACACAAAAACAUUUGGGGAAAGAACAUUUUGAAGAAGUUAAGACCUUACUUAGUGAUUGGCAGUGAAAAUACGACGCGGGGAAAAUAGAUGCACAUAUACCAUUUCUAUUCUACAACAGAGAAAAAUAAAACAACCAACCGAAGGGACAUAUCAGUCUUUAUGUAGUGGUUGGAGGUUAUACUAUUAAAUUUUGACGAGUGAGAACCCAUGAACGCAAAUGAAAUUUAAUAGUAUCAUUGCUAUAAAUGUGAUGCAAUGAAGCUCCACAUUCAGUAUGAUUUUCUUAUUUCUUUUUAGACAUUUAACAAGGAAAGGCGCAGAAAUUGGAAAACACUUCAAACCAUAUUAUUUUUACCUGUGAUCUUGUCAAUUAAGUUCAUUUAUGGCACCACCUCUUCUGAUCUCACCUUGGCCACUUAACUCAUCAGUGACCAUGGAUACCCGUAACAGGUAAUCCAUGUCAGUCUAUGAUAUAAAUAGGGGGGAUACAGGUAGUUUCGUACCGCGGAUAAUGUGUUCCCCACCAGCUAAAGUGAUUCUCUUUCGUGCAUAUUUAGGUGCUGACUAAAUAUGGUUUAAAAGGAUAAAUCAGUAGGAGAAAAGAAAGUGAUAAACAAGAUUCUUUUUCUUCGUGUAAAUUUACCUUCUUUGUUGAUUUUCCUACGAUAUCUGGUCCGUGAAAUCAUUUGUUUCUUUGCGUCCUUUUAUCUAUUUGCACUAACAGGAAUAAUGUGAGAUUCCAAACAUGUAUGUAUCUCCUUUUCUUUGAUAGUAAGUAGAUUGUUAGAUAGCAAUCAAAGCAGAAAACAAAAGACCUACUGGACCCUGGGAGCAUAAGACUCUUUCUACUGGAUGAUUAAUUAACUUGCAUGCAUCAAUGAGCAACAAGAACAACCAGUCAAUUAACCCGCGUGCAUUAGCAAGCAACCGAAUAAAAAUAAUAGUGCUCUCUCCUCCCGUGCUUCCCCGCCGCCGCCGGAGGAGGCCGGCGAGCGAAGCUUGCCCAGCGUACGGCGGACGCGGGCCUUCCUCCCUUCUUCACAAGGGGAUCCUCUGGCUGAGAUGCGACGGCGUCCCUGGGCGUACGACAUGGAGGCGGAGUUGGCGCGCUCGGGCGGCGGUCCGAUGGGAUCCUAGUGGCGCUGCGGGGGCUGCCUGCGGAUCUGGGGUUCACAACCCCAGAACUGUUCUCCUCGGAUGAUGCUGGAUCUGAACAAGGUGGUGGCGCCAUCCCCUUCGUCACGGAUGAUGGUCAGGUGGUGGGUCCUUGUGGCGUUGCCGGUGGCGGCGGAUCUUGGGAUCCCGCUCCCGGGGACGUCGCAGGAUGUGGUGGUCCGUGCAGGAGAGAUGGGUUCUUCGAACAGAUCUGGGUAAAAGCUUGCUUUCGGCUACUGCCAAAGCCGGCGAUGGCGGCGUUGUCUACGUCGUUCCCUUCCUGAAGGCAUCGCCGAGGAGAAGUUCAGGGCCACUCUUUGCUACCUCCGGGGGAAACCCUAGAUCAGUAGAUCGGAUGACGGCGACGCUCUGGUGUCGUUACCCUCUUGGGGCAUCAUUCAUGGAGGUACACACGGGCUCGAGGGAUCAUUGGCCGGCAUCUACGAUGGAGCGGCGUUCCUUGUGACACAUCGACGUCGUGGAGUCUCGGCGGCGAGGCACAGCAAAGUCUCGGUGACAAAUGCGUGUUGAUGAGCGCGCGUAGGAAGGAGGCGCUGUCUGGCGUCGUGGGAGCAUCGACGGCAGGCCUUGCAAGGUCGAUGCGUCAGUAACUCUUCUGAAGAUGGAUUGAUGGUAAGCGGCGGCGACGACCUAUGAGGGUGCAUUGGACCGGUUUGUGCCCCUGACCUGGUAUGUGGCUCGGUCGGGGCCUCCGGCUUUAGAUGUUAGGGUAGGUGAGAGGUCUGGGUAUGUGGCUCACACUUUCUGCACCCCUUCAUCAUUGGAUAGGAGUAGCGACAAAUAUUGUCAAGAGGGCGGCUUCAGAUAUAUUGAUGUAUUGCUUUGUAAGAUCUUUGUGAAUAAUUAAUAAAAUGGCUGCAUGCAUCUUCUAGAUGCAGAGGCCGGAGGUCAUCCUCCUUUUCUAAAAAAAAAAGCAAACAAAAGUCAUGACAUCAGUUAAGUUAAAUACCCGUAUAUAUGUGCAAAUAUACCACUUCUAAAUUUCACCAAUAAGUCAUGACAACAGUUUGGCAUUAACAAUAUUAAAAAAAUAGCACAAAGCAUACUUAUGCGACAUCCAAUCACGUAAGAUUAGGUCACACUGUGAUUUAUUCGAGAAGGCUUACUGUGAAUUGUAAGGAAAUGAAAUAAAAACCAGAUACCAAGUUGCUGCAGAUGCACUCAUGGUAUAAACUCUGAAACAUCAAAGUACUCAAUUGAUGAAAUUAGAAAAGCAAUACAGUUAGACUCACUUGAUAUGUUGCAGGUUAGACUCAAAUCUGAGACACGCAAAAUUGAGGUGUGAUUUGACUGUAUAGAGAUUAUGGCCAAACAUCAUUGCUUGUUUUUGGAAGAACAAAAAAGGGAAACUAUUGCUACAGGAGACAGAAUGGAAAAACCUCAUCAUGUCCAUACCUUCAAAUAAUAUAUAUAAUGUUCGGAAACAUAUGAAGACACUAAGAAUAAUGUUGGUAUGGUGGGCAGAUGCCCUCACCAACUUGCAUCCCUGAAUCAUAUGCAAAAGUACAUUUUUUCAGCAGAUAUGUACGUUCAUGGUUAUAAAAUAUAACAUACCGGCAAUAAGAUUGUCUACCACUUCUAUGGACUAUGCUUUUUUUAUCAUGCUUUGGUCAAGUCUAAAUGCUAAAACUAAUCUGCACGCUAUCCUAAAAUAAAUCAGGGGUCGCCAAUUAUUUACAUAUUCUUCCCUUAAUGGAUAUAAUAUAAAAACUCAGCCAAAAAGUAACACCUAACCUGUAGCUCAAAAGCAGUUACAUGUAGGUCGGCCGUGGGCUUCAAAAUUCCUUGGCGUCAAAGAAUAAUUCUCUCUAAUACAGAGGUUACAACAGUACCUUGAUAGGUACCACUAUUGCUGAAUAACAGAG
rnacentral:lncRNA from 1 species